GUGUGUGUGUGUGUGUGCGCGCGCAUGUCAAAGUUGCAGGGCUCUAAAGCAUGUGGCAUUUGGUCCAGACUGAAGACAAUUACCAGAAUACACUUCUGAUUCCAGCACAGAGCCUUAAGGUUAAUCGCUUGUGACUAAAUGUCACCUGUUUUAACCGGGACAUACUUGGAAAAAUAUCAGCAAGGAAAGUGAAUGAGAAAUGCUUUCCCAGGAGUGAGGAAGACACUUGACUCCCAGUUGCUCGUAAAAAAUGCUCAUUAGCCAAAAGAAGACAACUGACAUGAAUGUGUGCAAAUGUAUAAACAGGGAAUUGUUGCAUGUGAAAAAUGUGGACAUUAUACUUUGCAAACUGUG